GGGAAGGCGGGGGACCCGGGACGUCCAAGUGUGUAAGAAUGGCGGUACCUGGGAAAUCUCCAAGAGCAGCUUCCAGAGUCCACUAUCCCAGCAGUCCCUGCAGUUGGAGAAUUCGUGCCGGUGGAAAAAUCUGUGGCAUCUCACAAACUGUGAAGCUGAGAAAUCUCCCUAGAUCCUGCAGCAGAACAAAAUGUGGUCAAAGAAGGAAGAGAAUCAAUGGCCUUUUUUUCUCC